CCUCUUCCCAUUCCGAACAGAGAAGUUAAGCCCCUCAGCGCUGAUGGUACUAGGUCAAACCUGGGAGAGUAGGUCGCCGCCAAUU
rnacentral:rRNA from 1 species